AUUGAACGCUGGCGGCAUGCUUUACACAUGCAAGUCGAACGGCAGCGCGGGCUUCGGCCUGGCGGCGAGUGGCGAACGGGUGAGUAAUGCAUCGGAACGUGCCCAGUUGUGGGGGAUAGCCCGGCGAAAGCCGGAUUAAUACCGCAUACGACCUGAGGGUGAAAGCGGGGGACCGAAAGGCCUCGCGCCAUUGGAGCGGCCGAUGUCGGAUUAGCUAGUUGGUGGGGUAAAGGCUUACCAAGGCGACGAUCCGUAGCUGGUCUGAGAGGACGACCAGCCACACUGGGACUGAGACACGGCCCAGACUCCUACGGGAGGCAGCAGUGGGGAAUUUUGGACAAUGGGGGCAACCCUGAUCCAGCCAUGCCGCGUGCGGGAAGAAGGCCUUCGGGUUGUAAACCGCUUUUGUUCGGGAAGAAAUCCUCUGGGCUAAUACCCCGUGGGGAUGACGGUACCGGAAGAAUAAGCACCGGCUAACUACGUG
rnacentral:rRNA from 1 species